rnacentral:rRNA from 1 species
UGAGUUUAGAUCCUGGCUCAGGACGAACGCUGGCGGCGUGCCUAACACAUGCAAGUCGAACGGGGUUUAUGCCUUCGGGUGUAGACCUAGUGGCGGACGGGUGAGUAACGCGUGAGCGACCUGCCUUACAGAGGGGGAUAACACUUGGAAACAGGUGCUAAAACCGCAUAAGACCACAGCCCUGCAUGGGGGAGUGGUAAAAUGAGCAAUCAGCUGUAAGAGGGGCUCGCGUCUCAUUAGAUAGUUGGCGGGAUAACAGCCCACCAAGUCAACGAUGAGUAGCCGGCCUGAGAGGGUGAACGGCCACACUGGGACUGAGACACGGCCCAGACUCCUACGGGAGGCAGCAGUGGGGAAUAUUGGGCAAUGGGGGGAACCCUGACCCAGCGACGCCGCGUGAGGGAAGAAGGUUUUCGGAUUGUAAACCUCUGUACUGCGGGACGAGGAGAAGACGGUACCGCAGAAGGAAGCCCCGGCUAACUACGUGCC